GGCUCUCUGAUUUAAUAAUAUAGAGAGUCCGGCCUGCCCAGUGAUUUUUUUCAACGGCCGCAGUAUCUUAACUGUGCUAAGGUAGCAUAAUAAUUUGUCCUAUAAUUGAGGACUGGAAUGAAUGGUCUCACAAGAGCAAAGCUGUCUCUUUCUAAUUAAAUAGAAUUUUACUUUCAGAUGAAGAGGUCUGAAUUUAAUUAAAAGACAAGAAGACCCUAUCGAGCUUUAAAAAAAUUAAUAAAAUUCACUUAUACUUGUAGAAAAAAAUUAUUAAAAAUUUUGGUUGGGGCGACUAAGGAACACAAAAAGCUUCUUUAAUUUACAAAAACUAACUUGUAUUGAUCCAUAAAUUAUGAUUAAUGAAAUUAGUUACCGUAGGGAUAACAGCAUUAUCUUUUUUGAGAGCUCUAAUCGAAAAAAAGGUUUGUGACCUCGAUGUUGGACCAGAAUAUCCUAAAGGUGCAGAAGUCUUUAAGGGUUGGUCUGUUCGACCAUUAAAAUUCUACGUGAUCUGAGUUCAAACCGGAGA
rnacentral:rRNA from 1 species